CAGAGCGCCGGAUGCCGGGAAGUUGGUCAAACUUGAUCAUUUAGAGGAAGUAAAAGUCGUAACAAGGUUUCCGUAGGUGAACCUGCGGAAGGAUCAUUACCGAUGAUGCAAACCAAAAGGUUAUCAUUAACCUGUGUGAACUGUACUCAACCUUUAGGGGUCGGCCUUGGUGCCGUUAAAUGAUCGUGCGUCCGUUCUUUUUAAAAAAGUUCGGCGUCCGGCCAGCCCCGCCUUCCGCCAUUUGACGCACUUUAAUGUACCAGUCUGAAACAUGUUGCCAGCCCGCUGCCCUAUGUAAGAUAGGAGGCGGGCGUGUAGGAAAAUGAGAGAAAGAGAGACAACUUUUAACGGUGGAUCUCUUGGCUCACGUAUCGAUGAAGAACGCAGCCAGCUGCGAUAAGUAGUGUGAAUUGCAGAAUUCAGUGAAUCAUCGAAUCUUUGAACGCAAAUGGCGCUCUUGGGUUCUCCCAGGAGCAUGUCUGUCUGAGUGUCGGAUAUUAUCUAACGCACUCCCGCGUGCGGAAUUGAGGAGUCACGGCGUGAUCAUUUGUCGCCGUGUCCCUCGAAGGCGAGCGUGCUUAGACUCGCAUCGUGCGGUUUAAAACCCGCACCCCAUUGCGAAGGCUAAAGAUAUUUUGUCCUUCGUCGGGGUGCGAGUCCGCCACAGCGCGAGUCGGCCGAA
rnacentral:misc_RNA from 1 species